rnacentral:rRNA from 1 species
GAUCAAGCGACCAAGGGCAUACGGUGGAUGUCUCGGCGUCGAGAGGCGAUGAAAGACGUGGGAACCUGCGAUAAGCCAUGAGGAGCCGGUAACCAGGCUGUGAUCCAUGGAUUUCUGAAUGGGGCAACCCGGCCGCUUCGGCGGUCAUCACGUGCUGAAUGCAUAGGUACGUGAAGCGAACCCGGAGAACUGAAACAUCUCAGUACCCGGAGGAAUAGAAAUCAACCCAUAUCCCCUCAGUAGCGGCGAGCGAACCGGGAACAGCCGACCAGCUUUUUAGUAGUGGAAUGGUCUGGCAAGUCCAGUGACC